UACAGAGGGGGCAAGCGUUGUUCGGAAUUACUGGACGUAAAGGGCGCGUAGGCGGCCUUCUAAGUCGAACGUGAAAUCCCCGGGCUCAACCCGGGAACUGCGUCCGAUACUGGAACGCUUGAAUCCGGGAGAGGGAUGCGGAAUUCCAGGUGUAGCGGUGAAAUGCGUAGAUAUCAGGAGGAACACCGGUGGCGAAGGCGGGUCUCUGGGCCGAAACUGACGCUGAGGAGCGAAAGCGUGGGGAGCGAACAGG
rnacentral:rRNA from 1 species